rnacentral:rRNA from 1 species
CAGUCGCCGCGGUAAUACGUAGGUGGCAAGCGUUGUCCGGAAUUAUUGGGCGUAAAGGGCUCGCAGGCGGUUUCUUAAGUCUGAUGUGAAAGCCCCCGGCUCAACCGGGGAGGGUCAUUGGAAACUGGGAAACUUGAGUGCAGAAGAGGAGAGUGGAAUUCCACGUGUAGCGGUGAAAUGCGUAGAGAUGUGGAGGAACACCAGUGGCGAAGGCGACUCUCUGGUCUGUAACUGACGCUGAGGAGCGAAAGCGUGGGGAGCGAACGGGAUUAGAUACCCGCGUAGUCCCUGUCUCUUAUAC